rnacentral:rRNA from 1 species
CGAGAGGGUUAGACCCUCGGCAAACGGGUUAGUAACGCGUAGGGAACGUGCCCUCAAGUCAUGAAUAACCCGGAGAAAUCCGGGAUAAUACAUGAGUGUGCUCUACGGAGUAAAGAUUUAUCGCUUGAGGAGCGGCCUGCGUCCUAUCAGCUUGUUGGUAAGGUAACGGCUUACCAAGGCUAUGACGGGUAGGGGGUGUGAGAGCAUGACCCCCAACAUUGGAACUGAGACACUGUCCAA